rnacentral:rRNA from 1 species
GUCCACGCCGUAAACUAUGAGAACUGGAUGUUUGGGGGCUUGUCCUCUAAGUAUCGAAGCUAACGCGUUAAGUUCUCCGCCUGGGGAGUACGGCCGCAAGGUUAAAACUCAAAGGAAUUGACGGGGCCCGCACAAGCGGUGGAGCAUGUGGUUUAAUUCGAUGCAACCCGAAAACCUUACCUACCUUUGAAUCCUCGGAAUCUAGUAGAGAUAUUAGAGUGCCUUCGGGAACCGAGAGACAGGUGCUGCAUGGCUGUCGU